UACAGAGGUCUCAAGCGUUGUUCGGAUUCAUUGGGCGUAAAGGGUGCGUAGGCGGCGCGGUAAGUCGGGUGUGAAAUCUCGGAGCUUAACUCCGAAACUGCAUUCGAUACUGCCGUGCUUGAGGACUGGAGAGGAGACUGGAAUUUACGGUGUAGCGGUGAAAUGCGUAGAUAUCGUAAGGAAGACCAGUGGCGAAGGCGGGUCUCUGGACAGUUCCUGACGCUGAGGCACGAAGGCCGGGGGAGCAAACGGG
rnacentral:rRNA from 1 species